UUAAUUUUUUUGGAUCAGCAU
rnacentral:miRNA from 1 species